UGCGCCCCAGUUAAGGUUUUAGGGCCCGACCUCCCGUCACGGGGCCGAUCAAUUUGGUCGAACUCGAUGGCUCGUCUUUCUCUCUUUCGCUCUCUCCUCCCGCUCUCGCGGUUCUUCUCUGAAACCCUUCCGUAUAAAGCUCCAGAUACUUUUACCAGACCAAGCCUUAGUUGCAAACCAUGGGUUCCGAUGCUGAUAUGGAGGACUACGGGUUCGAGUACUCCGACGAGGAGCCUGAGGAGCAGGAUGUUGACAUCGAGAACCAAUACUACAACUCUAAAGAUCGUGGCUGAAGGACGUACUGCCAAAGGUAUCUGUAUCUCCAUCGUUGUUGGUAGCCAAAUUUUGUUGUCCUCACUUAGCAAUCAUUUUGUGCAAGUCCGUAACUGCUCGGCUAAUCAUCCUUAUAAGCAGGUGGGUAAAUCUUAUAUAUUCCUAUUCUGUUUGCAGCCCAAUUAUAAAUGAGCUUGAAUUAAUGUGAAAUCUGCAAAAAAUGAUCCCCAUGGCAUUGGAAGCCAUAUCUGACUUGUGAGGCCAGAAAAAGCAGGGCAAUCUCUCCAGCUAACACUUUUACUACUUGAACUAAAUAUUAUAAGUGAGCCCAAAUGCCAAACCCAAAUCUGGAUCACACUUGAUUCCAUACAGUGUGCAAUUGCAGUAACAAAUCAGGCCUAAAUGACCCAUAAUUUGCAUUUACACUCUGCAGUCCACUAAGAUUGAAUAUAGCUCUCCAUAAUUUUCAUAAGCUUACACAAAGUGCACUGCAGACUGUAUCAUAUAUCAAGCAACGAAAGACGCUCUACAAGGAACACAGCUCUCUGUUGUAUGACCAUCCUAGGUUUUUCCCUGUUGAGUUUUAGUAUGCGAUAAAGGCAACAUGUAUUAGCUUAUAUGACUCUUUUGUCAGCUUAUUCUAUAUGAUGGUUGGUGCAAUAAGUUCUUUUAUGCG